UGGGAAAAAUUCCGAGAGGGGGAGUUAACAUGGCCGUGGCUACACCAGUAUUCUAUUACUCUGCUCUGACUAAGCAAUCUAAAAGACCUAGGAUUCUGCCCCGGUGCAAAUAUGGGUUGACCUUGAUGAGCUUAAUAACGAAAAGUGCUGGCAUAAUGCUGAAAAAAAAGUGAAAAAUAAUACAUUUUCUGUGUCACCGUACCAGCACGUUCCGUUGUUAGCUGGCCAGUCAACCCAUAUUUGCACCGGGCACCGGGGCCGAGCGCUAAGUAAACCUCUUUUACGGUGCGACCGGUGCGACGGUGCUGCGGAGUAGACCACGACCACAGCAGAAUUCUUGAAGUCUGGCAAUGUCGAAAUCCGCCAUGAUGUUUGGAUGACGGUGUUUUUCGCUGUUCCCCCUCACUUUUCCACAGAGAAUUAUUUGAGUGAAUUUUCCCCUGCACAAUAAACAACGUGUAUACUAGUAUUGUAACCUACUCCAUUUACUUAUCCUGUUGUAGAGAUUCGAUUAACGACGCAGCCAACAUUUCAACAGUUAACGAUGCCAACAAACAGAGAAAAUGAAUAAAUAAAAGUGAAAAUUUACUUGGAAACCCACAGAGAGUUCGUACCUCCUAAACCAUGUUAAUUUGUCACAUCCAUAGUUCUUUGUCGUUUUGUUUUGGUUUAUGGACAUCCAUCACAUUACAUAUUUUCAACACA